GAUGCAGCACGCCGCGUGAGGAGACGAAGGCCUUCGGGUUGUAAACCUCUUUUAGCAGGGAAGAAGCGAAAGUGACGGUACCUGCAGAAAAAGCACCGGCUAACUACGUGCCAGCAGCCGCGGUAAUACGUAGGGUGCAAGCGUUGUCCGGAAUUAUUGGGCGUAAAGAGCUCGUAGGCGGUUUGUCGCGUCUGCUGUGAAAACCCGAGGCUCAACCUCGGGCUUGCAGUGGGUACGGGCAGACUAGAGUGCGGUAGGGGAGAUUGGAAUUCCUGGUGUAGCGGUGGAAUGCGCAGAUAUCAGGAGGAACACCGAUGGCGAAGGCAGAUCUCUGGGCCGUAACUGACGCUGAGGAGCCAAAGCAUGGGGAGAAAAC
rnacentral:rRNA from 1 species